UUAACUCAAAUUUGCAUGGAGCUGGAACGUUUGCUUACGUUUGCCGCUAGGGGCGCUGUUCCAACUGCAUACAAAUAUGAGUUA
rfam:Bombyx mori DNA, contig: Bm_scaf1_contig1479, strain: p50T/Dazao, build 2, whole genome shotgun sequence.